AUACGUAGGUGACAAGCGUUAUCCGGAUUUACUGGGCGUAAAGGGCGUGUAGGCGGGGAUGCAAGUCAGAUGUGAAAUUCCGGGGCUCAACCCCGGCACUGCAUCUGAAACUGUGUCUCUUGAGUGCUGGAGAGGAAAGCGGAAUUCCUAGUGUAGCGGUGAAAUGCGUAGAUAUUAGGAGGAACACCAGUGGCGAAGGCGGCUUUCUGGACAGUAACUGACGCUGAGGCGCGAAAGCGUGGGUAGCGAACAGGAUUAGAUACCCUGGUAGUCCACGCCGUAAACGAUGGAUACUAGGUGUAGGAGGUAUCGACCCCUUCUGUGCCGGAGUUAACACAAUAAGUAUCCCACCUGGGGAGUACGGCCGCAAGGUUGAAACUCAAAGGAAUUGACGGGG
rnacentral:rRNA from 1 species